UCACUAUUAGAAAAUAUAUAUAAAAUAUAUUGUGCCAGCUAUUACAAAUAGGUUUUUGUAUUUUAAGCAAUGCACGUGUUUUUUUUAGGCCGCGGAAUAAAAUAAAGUUACUUUGAGAUGUUAAUGCAAAAUAACAAUUUAUGAAGUUUCUACUCCUGGCUUGGGGGCUACUGUAAAUCCAUCGGAGUCCCCUAUGUCAACAACUUUGACCUGUUCUGGGCAAGGCCUUCCCUUCUCAAGCGAGAUGGUCUCCACCCAAACAGGACGGGGGCCCAGUUGCUGUCAGACAACAUAAACACCUGCCUCAGACAUUGAUGUUUUUAUACGGUAGGAAAUAAUUCCUCUGGACUACUGUCUUCUACUGUUUAUUCUAUUAGUACUAUCAUCUCCUACCAUAAUAAUAAAAUGGACAGCAGUAGACCACUUCUAGGAUCUAAUAAGAACAACUUAAUAUCAGUCUCUUUGAGAAGUAAACUGAACAAUCCAAAAAUCCUGUUCUCAACAAUUGACCAUCUGAUUAACCCCGUCCCCUUAGACUCCGGCGAUCUUUUGUCCACAUCCAGAUGUGAAGAGUUUGCAGCAUACUUCAGGGAUAAGAUAACCAAAAUCAGGUCUGGUAUUGCUCAGCUAAGGAGUGAUACUUUAGAAUCCCCUGCCUCACUAUGUGAGGUAACCCUAGAGUCUUUUGCCCUGGUUGAUGCUGAAAUGCUUAUGAAGGUAGUAUCACAGCUUGAGCCCUCCACUUGCCUUCUUGAUCAUAUCCCCACCACCUUUUUUAAAACAAUUUUUAACUGUUUAUCAGAUGAGAUCCAAGCCACCAUUAACUAUUCUUUACAGACAGGUGUUUGUCCAACCACACUUAAGACUGCUGUGGUGAAACUCCUCCUGAAGAAAAACAACCUUGACUCAGUCCUCAGCAAUUUUAGACCAAUUUCUAAUCUUCCUUUUUUUAAGCAAAAUUUUAGAGAAAUUAGUUUUUAAGCAGUUAAAUUAUUUUCUUACCUCAAAAUUUCAUUCAGGCUUUCGGGCCCAUCACAGAACAGAAACGGCCUUGGUAAAGUUUGUGAACGACCUUAGAAUCAACUUGGACACCAAAAAACUCUCAGUCCUUGUUCUCCUUGACCUGAGUGCAGCUUUUGAUGCGGUCGACCACAAUAUUCUCAUAAACAGACUACAUAAAUGUGUUGGCCUCUCUGGCACUGUUCUUAACUGGUUUACAUCUUACCUCACAGGUAGAGAAUUUUUUGUUGCCCUCGAUGAACACUCCUCUAAGAACCAUGACAUCAACUGUGGCAUACCACAAGGCUCGAUCCUAGGUCCAGUCCUUUUCAGUCUGUAUAUGCUGCCCCUUGGCAGUAUCGUCAGGAGACAUGGCACCAAUUUUUACAGUUAAGCUGAUGACACUCAACUCUAUAUUGCUGUGUCUCCUGAUGACACAAGCCCUAUUGAUGCUCUCCAUAAGUAUAUUUUAGACAUUAAUGCUUGGAUGGCUCAGAACUUCCUUCAGCUCAACCAGGACAAAACAGAGGUACUUGUCAUUGGAGCAGAGGGACAGAGAGAGAAAUUGACCUCUAAAUUGAAGUCACUGGCACUCAGUCUCAGGCACCAGGCUUAAAACCUAGGUAUCAUCAUAGAUUCUAAUUUAAUUUUCAAUGCCCACAUCAGGAAUGUGACAAUAUCGGCAUUUUUCACUUAACAAAUAUUGCCAGAGUGAGUCCGUUUCUCUCCCAGGCCAAUACUGAGAGACUAGUGCACGCUCUUAUCACUAGUAGGCUGGACUAUUGUAAUGCUCUCCUUUCUGGUAUACCAAAAACAGCCAUAGAUCAACUCCAACUUAUACAAAAUUCAGCUGCUUGUGUGUUGACCAGAACCAGAAGGAGAGCACACAUUACACCUGUUUAAAUAUCACUGCACUGGCUACCUGUUAGUUUUAGAAUUGAUUUUAAGAUUCUUUUAUUGGUCAACAAAUCACUAAAUGGCCUCGCUCCCGACUACAUGUCUGACAUGGUUUUAAGAUACCUACCCACUAGAUCCCUCAGGCCCUCUGGUGGUUGUCUCUUGGUUGUUCCAAGGGUCCGGUCUAAGACCCACGACGAGGCUGCUUUUAGCCACUAUGCCCCCAGCCUGUGGAACGGCUUGCCGGAGGACCUCAGGGUGGCAGAGAGUGUGGAUAUCUUUAAAAGAAAACUUAAAAUACACCUUUUUAGCCUGGCUUUUAUCUAGUGUGUGUUGAUUACGACUGCUCUUUUACUGUUAUUUCUUAUUUUAUUAUUAGUUUUAUUAUACUAGAUUUUAUUUAUCCAUUUUCAUGUUUUUUUAUUUAAACUCAUGUCCGUUUUUAACCUACUCGUAUUUCCGCUUUGUAUGUUCAGCACUUGGAGUUGCAUUUGAUGUAUGACGUGCUAUAUAAAUAAAGUUUGAUUUCAACGUUUUGUGAUUAUGUACUUGUUCGACGGUCCCUACAUCCGUCCUCUUCUGGAAGCAGUUGGUGAUGUUUGCUGUGUGUCUCGCUGUAGUUUUUUCUUUGCAUUUCGAAGCAAAAGCUGUGCUAUAAAAAAAUAAUAGCUGUGAAACGUGCUUCUUUAGGUUUUAUUUUGACACCCUCGUCGAUGUCUGAAUAUUGAAUAUCUAACGUAAUCUCUAUGGUUUACGGUACACGCAGCCUACUUUUUUUACUUUCUCUUUCUACACUUGCGCUUUACAAGAAAUCACGUGAUCAGAAAUAGGCUACAGUGUUUCCCAAGCCGGCAGUCAUGCCUGAAUAUGAUUUCCUGGAUAUGUUUUAGACACUUUUUGUUGGCAUUGUGCGUUGGUCUGGAUAAAAGUUUCUCAUUAAUGGCAGUAAAGAAAGACCGUUGGCACUUCAUGUUGAUUGAGCCGUUUUACAACCAACUUUAAAAAAAAAGUCUUUGUCACCCUGGUGUAUAUGUCCCAGCGUUUCCUUUUUUAAAAAAUAAGCUGUUUCACACACCGCUCUAAGAAGAUUGGUAAAAGGCAAAAACAGUGUGAAGCAGAAGAAUGACGAUUUUCUAAAUUACUCUGAUUGGAGUCGUACAAGAAUCCGUACUGCUUAAAUUUGAGUGUUCACAGGAAACGUUUGACAACACUACGAUUCUGGAGUUGAAGAAAAAAAUAAUUGCUACGACUCUCAGGUUUGGACCCGGAGUCAAUACGUUUGAUUUUUGGAUCUAUUCAGCUGGAGGAUAUGAAAACGUUUUCUGAUUACGGUAUCCGGAACAGGUCUGUAGUGCACCUGGUCAGGAGAAUGUCGGGGAGCGGCGGCGGCGAUCCGGAGCCUCGGGAGGUGGCCAGCACUAUGGCCAGGGCUGAGGACAGGCCUGGGUCCAGGCCUGGGGCCCAUCCGCUCGUGUGUAACGUGAUGUAACAGUCAAUGUCCCACGUCGUCUGCGAGAAACGUCCGCCCCCUUUGACAAGAACAUGGCUGCCAAUCUGACUGCAAGAAACAUCUGCUCCCUUCGACAAGAACAUGGCUGCCAAUCUGACUGCGAAAACUGCCAGAACUUCUUGAACCCUCGUCGCAAUCAUCAAAGACACGUACGAUCCUGUGGAAGUAAAGGAACAUAUGUACAUCUGUACUGUGUGUAUAUGUAGUUAAAGCUAGCAAUAUUACCCAUUAUGCAAUAACUGAAUAUUGAUUACACUGAAAACAUAUAAAAGGGGUAGAAAACUGAUUGGACAUAAUUAUCAAUAAAAUAUAAGAUCUUGGGAUAACCUACAAAGUUAACUUUUUACAUUUUAUUAUUAUUUCUUUUACAUACAUCUGACACGCUUGUCAUUUGUUUUGUAAUGUAUUUAAGUGAAUUCUUUCACCGCUCUACAAAGCUUUGACAGCUUUGAGGCUAUAUUGUUUGCUGAUCUUGGCUAAUUAAAGGUGCAGUAUGUAA